rnacentral:rRNA from 1 species
GAUGAACGCUAGCGGCGGGCUUAAUACAUGCAAGUCAAGGGGUAGCAAUACACCGGCGUACGGGUGCGUAACGCGUAUGGAACCUGCCCUUAUCUGGGGGAUAACUCGGGGAAACUCGAGCUAAUACCGCAUAAGAUAGUAGAAUGGCAUCAUUCAGCUAUUAAAGAUUUAUCGGAUAAGGAUGGCCAUGCGUAAGAUUAGAUAGUUGGUGGGGUAACGGCUCACCAAGGCUACGAUCUUUAGGGGCUCUGAGAGGGGAAUCCCCCACACUGGCACUGGGAUACGGGCCAGACUCCUACGGGAGGCAGCAGUAGGGAAUAUUGGGCAAUGGGCGGAAGCCUGACCCAGCCACGCCGCGUGCAGGAAGAAGGCCCUCUGGGUUGUAAACUGCUUUUGAUUGGGAAGAAAGCAUCUCAUGCGUGGGAUUUUGACGGUACCAAUCGAAUAAGCCACGGCUAACUACGUGCCAGCCGCCGCGGUAA